rnacentral:rRNA from 1 species
AGCUUGCUAAGGGUGGAAAUGUUGGCAGUUUAGUGGCGGACGGGUGAGAAACGCGUGGGUAACCUGCCUUACACAGGGGGAUAACACCUGGAAACAGGUGCUAAUACCGCAUAACAGGAAGAGGCGCAUGCCACUUUCUUGAAAACUCCGGUGGUGUAAGAUGGACCCGCGUCUGAUUAGCUAGUUGGCGGGGUAACGGCCCACCAAGGCGACGAUCAGUAGCCGGCCUGAGAGGGUGGACGGCCACAUUGGGACUGAGACACGGCCCAAACUCCUACGGGAGGCAGCAGUGGGGAAUAUUGGACAAUGGGGGGAACCCUGAUCCAGCGACGCCGCGUGAGUGAAGAAGUAUUUCGGUAUGUAAAGCUCUAUCAGCAGGGAAGAAAGAAAUGACGGUACCUGACUAAGAAGCCCCGGCUAACUACGUGCCAGCAGCCGCGGUAAUACGUAGGGGGCAAGCGUUAUCCGGAUUUACUGGGUGUAAAGGGAGCGUAGACGGUGAUGCAAGUCUGAAGUGAAAGGCGGGGGCUCAACCCCCGGACUGCUUUGGAAACUGUAUGACUGGAGUGCAGGAGAGGUAAGUGGAAUUCCUAGUGUAGCGGUGAAAUGCGUAGAUAUUAGGAGGAACACCAGUGGCGAAGGCGGCUUACUGGACUGUAACUGACGUUGAGGCUCGAAAGCGUGGGGAGCAAACAGGAUUAGAUACCCUGGUAGUCCACGCCGUAAACGAUGAUCACUAGGUGUCGGUGGGUAUGGACCCAUCGGUGCCGCAGCAAACGCAGUAAGUGAUCCACCU